UACGAAGGGGGCUAGCGUUGUUCGGAAUCACUGGGCGUAAAGCGCACGUAGGCGGAUUGUUAAGUCAGGGGUGAAAUGCCAAGGCUCAACCUUGGAACUGCCUUUGAUACUGGGGAUCUUGAGUCCGGAAGAGGUGAGUGGAACUGCGAGUGUAGAGGUGAAAUUCGUAGAUAUUCGCAAGAACACCGGUGGCGAAGGCGGCUCACUGGUCCUUGACUGACGCUGAG
rnacentral:rRNA from 1 species